AAGAAAGGGAAGAAAAUGUACGGAGGGUUAUUGAAAGGAAAUCUCUUCUCCCUCGGAUGAUCUAUUUGUCUAUUCAAAGUGCUUCAGUAUCACUUAAGGAGAAUGCUGAAGUCAAUGGCUCUAUGUCUGAGCCCAAAAUCUCAUCAGAGUUGAAGUUUUUGCUUGAGCGUUAUGCAAAGAUGUUGGGAUCGUCUUUAACUGAUGCAAUAGAAGUGGUUAUGGGAGUUUCUACUGGCCUUAAGUCAUCUGAGGCUUUUGGAUCAGACACAGUUGACUGGCUUAACUUUGCUGUUUUUUUGAAUGCGUGGAACUUGAAUUCCCAUGAGCUCUCACAGCCGGGUGGAGAUCAGUGUGGGCAUACAUGGCACAAUGUGGAUACUUUGUUGGAUAAGCAUAUUUCAGAGAAAGCCAGAUCCAUGGAGUCUCUUAUUUGCUUCCCAGGGGGUGAUCUUCCGACAUUAGUGCAAUUGGUUACGGAGCCAUUAGCUUGGCAUGGUCUUGUACUCCAAUCCUGUGUACGAUCAUCUCUUCCAUCCGGAAAGAAGAAGAAGAAAGGUGGAUCUGCAGAGCACUCCACCUCUCAACUAUCUAGUACAAUCCGAGAUUCAAUCGAUUCUUCUUGUUCUAUAGUUGAAGAAGUUGCAAAGUGGAUAAGAGACCAGAUUAAAAGACCAGAGGAUGAGGUUGUGGAAAUUAUACUGUCCUCUCUUAGGAAAAAGGGACAGGGUGAAGGGCCUGGGCUGGUUUUCCGAAUUCUGGAAAGCUUUAUGUCAUCCAUAGAUGAGGUUGAACUUGGUAGCCGGAUCUCCCAAGCAGUAAAGUCGUGGAGCCAUGUGGAUGUUGCAAGGAAGAUAGUGACUGGUAGUUCUACAGUAUUGUCUGAAUUUCUUCGUAUUUGCGAGUCAAAAAUCAAGUCAUUGCAGGCAUUGAAACGCCAGAUGGCUCAAGUCUGAUUAGUAUAUUGGUGGUGAAUCAGAUUUUCGUGUAUUUGGCCUAAUUAUGCGGGCG
rnacentral:misc_RNA from 1 species